rnacentral:SRP_RNA from 11 species
UCGCGCCUGAACUGGCGCGUGAAACCUGGAGAAACGGCGCCUUCAAUGGCACCGGCAAUGACGCCUGGACUGGCGCCUGAAUCUGGCGAGAUGGCACAUUCAGCGCGAGCUUGUAACUCAAGCGAGAGCAUCAGUGCGGCUGGAGAUUGGCCUGGCUGGGGUUCCUAAAUCUGGAGGGCACCGCGUGAGGCUGGUUUCACAGAGCAGCGUUCACCUCCCGCUCUCUUCGGUGGAAGGAUAACGGGCCGGGACCCCUCAAGCCCAACAAACGCCUACCCAGCCUCUCUCAACCCAACAACCACAUUU